AUUGAACGCUGGCGGCAUGCUUUACACAUGCAAGUCGAACGGUAACAGGCCUUCGGGUGCUGACGAGUGGCGAACGGGUGAGUAAUGCAUCGGAACGUACCCAGAGGUGGGGGAUGACGCAGCGAAAGCUGUGCUAAUACCGCAUGUGAUCUGAGGAUGAAAGCGGGGGACCGAGCAGCAAUGUUUGGCCUCGCGCCUUUGGAGCGGCCGAUGUCGGAUUAGCUAGUUGGUGGGGUAAAGGCCUACCAAGGCGACGAUCCGUAGCUGGUCUGAGAGGACGACCAGCCACACUGGGACUGAGACACGGCCCAGACUCCUACGGGAGGCAGCAGUGGGGAAUUUUGGACAAUGGGCGCAAGCCUGAUCCAGCAAUGCCGCGUGCGGGAAGAAGGCCUUCGGGUUGUAAACCGCUUUUGGCAGGAACGAAACGGUGUCCGCUAAUACCGGGCGCUAAUGACGGUACCUGCAGAAUAAGCACCGGCUAACUACGUG
rnacentral:rRNA from 1 species